rnacentral:rRNA from 1 species
GGUUUAAUUCGAUGAUACGCGAGGAACCUUACCCGGGCUUGAACUGCAGGAGAACGAUUCAGAGAUGAUGAGGUCCUUCGGGGACUCCUGUGGAGGUGCUGCAUGGUUGUCGUCAGCUCGUGCCGUGAGGUGUCGGCUUAAGUGCCAUAACGAGCGCAACCCCUCUCCGUAGUUGCCAUCGGGUGAUGCCGGGCACUCUGCGGACACUGCCACCGUAAGGUGUGA